UUUUGGAGCUAUAUACUUACAAGGUCCUCCACUUCUCACCCAAUGACACAAAGUUUUCAUAGAGUUUUGGUCAAGUUGUCCACCUGCAUACUGAUCCUCUAGAAAGCAAUCAAGCUUUACGCUGGAAAAGUAUGACAUCCAUAUUCCACAUUGCGGGGAGACUUCAAUUAUGAACCUGCUAUUUAACGUGUGGCAUAUAUAAUCAAAUGGUGAAAAAGGAAUCAUUAUCCAUUCCUUUCUAGCUAGUAGAGUUAAAAUUAAGAAACAAGAGGAUUUUGUGAGCUAUCAGGAAUGGGAACUUGUAACUUUAGAUCCAGUAGGCUUUAACUGAGGAGUUCACAACGAUAUCUCUUGUUCGAAAAGAAUUCGAAAUGUAAUCGAGAGAUAACUUUGCAUGCCAAGACAGGUUGUUGCAUGUAAUGUGAGAGUGACACAAAACACGCGGGCACAAACUCCUGGCAAUAACAUAAUUGUUCUCAAUUUAAAAUAUUCUUCGCAUAUAAACAGCAGUUCAAGGGAAAGCAUAACAACAACAAUAAUAAUAAUAAUGUUUAUCCCUACUCAACCCAAAGGAAAAGAGGCC